UUGAUUUUCAGAUUCAAGUUUAAUCUAAGCCUAAUCUACAUUUUGGUGACUGAAUUUAAAUUUAUGAGCAGUCAAUCCUUAGGGAACAAAUGAAAAGGCUGUUCUUAAGACCAAUGAGUGUGUUUGUUUUGCAGGAGAGCAACUGAGUGAUCCUUCUGCGUUACCUGUCAUCAUUUGAAUGAUCUCCUGAUUCUGGCCAGUGAUGACAGAACUUGAGCCCAUCUGCAACACACUAAAGUAAACUACCAGAUACUGACCAGUUUGAGCGAGGUGACGCUUGUGGCUGACAGAGGAAGAUUCUACAACACACUGAAAUAAACUACCAGAUACUGACCAGAGUGAGGUGACGCUGGUGGCUGACAGAGGUACAUGGACAAUGGACAUGUGUCUUCAUAAUAAGAGUCUUCUGGAAAUCACAACAGGCAACUCAAUGUUGGAAGGCAGAAUUGGUUUGUUAUCAUAACAAAAACUCUCCAGGCAGAAGCGAUGCUCAAGUCAACCCACAUUUAAAAAGUGUUCAAUUAUUACUGUAUUUAAGUGCUAGUACC